rnacentral:rRNA from 1 species
UGAGGAAUAUUGGUCAAUGGGCGCAAGCCUGAACCAGCCAAGUCGCGUGAGGGAAGACGGUCCUAUGGAUUGUAAACCUCUUUUGCAGGGGAGCAAAGCCCGGUACGAGUACCGGGAAGGAGAGUACCCUGAGAAAAAGCAUCGGCUAACUCCGUGCCAGCAGCCGCGGUAAUACGGAGGAUGCGAGCGUUAUCCGGAUUUAUUGGGUUUAAAGGGUGCGCAGGCGGGCUGUUAAGUCAGCGGUAAAAUGUCGGUGCUCAACACCGGCCGGCCGUUGAAACUGGCAGUCUUGAGUGAGCGAGAAGUAUGCGGAAUGCGUGGUGUAGCGGUGAAAUGCAUAGAUAUCACGCAGAACUCCGAUUGCGAAGGCAGCAUACCGGCGCUCAACUGACGCUCAGGCACGAAAGCGUGGGUAUCGAACAGG